CACACACACAGACGUUUCCAUAGAGAGAGGUUCCACUUUGCAUUAGCAGCUCAUGCUUCAGCGCUCUGCGAGUGUUUAUAGCCCUGUGACUUUAACACUUCAUGACUGAGAGCUGCUGCUCAGCGACUUCACCCACAGCAACCAUGAGUUUGAUCAGCGUCUUCAUCUGCACACUGGCCCUCUGCGCUCGAGGAUCCAGAGGUCAGGUGACUGUGACUCAGAGUCCUGCAGUGAAAUCAGUUUCCCCAGGAGACACACUCACCAUCAGCUGUAAAACCAGUUCUGCUGUUUACCGGUGGAGUGAUGGAGAUGAAGGAAUGUUCUGGUAUCAGAAGAAACCUGGAGAAGCUCCUAAACUCCUGAUCAUAUUUGUGAAGAAGUUACAGUCAGGUAUUCCAUCACGUUUCAGUGGCAGUGGAUCUGGAUCUGAUUUCACUCUGACCAUCAGUGGAGUCCAGACUGAAGAUGUUGGAGAUUAUUACUGUCAGAGUGCACAUGAGACCAGUAGUAGCGUAGUGUUCACACAGUGUUAGAACGUCGUACAAAAACCUGUGUGAGUGUGACUGCUGCAGCUGGGACCUACUGCAGGUGCUGAGGGACACACACACACACACACACACACACACACACCACAAUAUAAAAACACAAAAUGUAUAAGUUUCUGUAUAAAGUUUUCUUUUAUAUCCCACUGCGCAAUGUGGCGUCGUAGUGACGUCUUUUCCAUGUCAUUUUUGGACGUCCAAUUUCCGUCCAUUGAUGGGGUUGUUUUGUAACGCCAGGUGACAUCUUUUUUUCGACGUCUACCGCAUGUCUAAUGUUGACGUCGGUGGAACGUCUUUUCCAUGUCAUUUUUGGACAUCCAAUUAUCAUCUUUUGUAAGAUAGGAAUAAGGUGGAUAGGCUAGGCUACCAUGAUUUUUUUUUAAUAUAAAAUAUAAUUUACAUAAAUAUAUAUAUAUAUAUAUUAUUAUUAUUUUUUUUAAUACUGCAGUGUUUUACCACCGGAAGGAUCUUGGAGAAUGAGUGAGCUUGCUUGCUGCCCAAUGCUAAUGGCUGGGAGUACUUUAUUUAUACACAGCACUGUAUAUCAUGAGCAACACAUUCACCCGGGACCUACACCCAAUUCAGCCUAAACAUGAACCAGGGAACAUUCACCAGGUCACAAACACCCUAAAACACAAACAUGGCCGAAGCCACUAGCCCAAACAAACUUCCCCAACGUGGUGAACACACAGAAACCCUCCCGCAAUGCAUGAUGGUCGUCAGCCGCCGCCCCGCCUACGCCACAAUACAAUAUAAAAUAAAAAUUUAAAUAACUUGAUUAUAGGCUACUUUAAAUAAAAUUAAAACCUGUUAAGGAAACUGGAAAAUGUAAAAAAAAUAUAUAUAUGGUCUACCAAAUAAAUAAAUAGUCAUACAGAUAAUAAAUCUUGUUUGUUUAUAAAUAAUCUGUAUUCAUAUGUAUAAUCAUAUGUUGAUAGGCUCUAUUUUGUAAAACACAUUUACUGCCACUGCCUUAGAUGUCCAAAUGACGUCCCAAAAAGCCAGAUUAGGUCAAAUGUUGAACGUCAAAAUGACGUCCAAGUUGGGUCAUGGUUGGACGUCCAAAUAGUGGACCUAGUUUGGACGUCGAAUAGAUGUCCAGAAUUGGUCAUGGACCGACAGACCCAAUAUAGACAUGAUCCCAAUGAGGACGAGACUGGGAGACCGAGAUGAAGGAAACGAGUUAGAAAAAAAAACUAUCCUGUCUCUGAUGAGAACUGUUGUGGUUGUCAGUGUUAUAAAGCCAUGCAAUAAGUGUUAGAGACGAUGAGCAGCGAGUGCAGCCAGAUUAGAUCCUUUACACUGUGGCUAAAAUCAUUAGGACAUUUCACACUGAAAACAGGUAAGUCUAACUAAAGUACACAAUAUCUGGCACAGUAUUUCUACGUCUAAGUGACAUUGUACUGACAUCCUCUCCUCUGUAAAAUUCAUAGAGCACCAGAUAACAGUGGAAUAAACUGUCUCUUCAACAAAUACCAAGAAAGAGAAAUAGUCAACAAGUCCCUUGCUCAAGGGCCUCACAGCGGCAAUCAGAUGGUGCUGAGAUUUGAACCUGGGACCUUCACAUCAGUAGCCCAAUGCCCCCAGUCUUAAUGCAACAUCUGGCCUUAUAUUCCUACAACCAGAACUGCAGUGUAGGACAUCAGAUCACACUACUCACGCUGUUAUAAUGGGUAAAGUCAGCCUUCACCAUGCAGUGCUCAUCCAAGAAUGUUUUAACAGUCACCCACAGAUACACUGAAUCUUCCUUCCACCAAAUAAAACACUGAUUUCAG